AAACUUGUCGUGACUUUGCAAUGACUUGAAUAAGUCAAGAACUCUAAAACUCGAUGACAAUGCGCGAAUGCGAAAAAGAGUUUCAGUCCGAUAGAAUUUGUUGAGCUAAUCAAGUCAAGUGACAAUCAAGCAACAAAAUUCGCCUCACUCGCGCGUUGCUUUCUCAGCCAAGUUCAAAGUCAAGAGCAAAUCGACACCAACCUCGGCUAGCGCUGAGGGGCCAGUCCGCUUUAUAACACCUGCAUACGAAACCGUUGAUCAUCGAAAAAACCAAGUAAAACACGUUUCGCCUUAUUUAAAUUGGCCACUAUUAUGAGCCGGGAUAAAUGGAAUACUGUUUUAAUGGCUCAGAGGCAAACGGAUUAUUUGUACCUUUUUUUUGCGCACCUAGUACAGUGCGUAUGCCACACGACAGUUUUAUCAGGCCCAAGUGGACGUCUCGCAUAAUCAAUAGAGAUGUUGAGCUGAUGACUGUGCUGAAAUGCUAA